rnacentral:rRNA from 1 species
AAGUGCUUGGCCGAGAUCGUGAAUUUUUUAACAAAUGACCUCAAAUCAGGCAAGAAUACCCGCUGAAUUAAGCAUAUCAAUAAGCGGAGGAAAAGAAACUAACAAGGAUUCCCCUAGUAACGGCGAGUGAAGAGGGAAGAGCUCAAAUUUUAAAUCUGCCUUGUUUCAAGGUCGAGUUGUAAUUUGAAGAAGCGUUUUCUUGGGCUCGCGGCCGGUAGAAGUUCUUUGGAACAGGACAUCAUAGAGGGUGACAAUCCCGUCUGCGACCGGUCGUGCGUUCAUCUACGAUACGCUUUCAAAGAGUCGAGUUGUUUGGGAUUGCAGCUCCAAAUGGGUGGUAAACAUCACCUAAGGCUAAAUAUUGGCGAGAGACCGAUAGCGAACAAGUACCGUGAGGGAAAGAUGAAAAGAACUUUGAAAAGAGAGUUAAACAGUACGUGAAAUUGUUGAAAGGGAAACGAUUGAAGUCAGUCGUGCUGGCGCGAAAUCAACCCUCUCGUCGAGAGGACACAUGGCGUGGCGAGCCUCAAAACCGUCACGAAGCGUGAACUCUUGGCGAAAAGGAGUACUUUCGUGUCCGCUGGUUAACAUCAAUUUCGAACGUCAUAAAAAGGCUGGAGGGAUGUGGCUCCUUCGGGAGUGUUAUAACCUUUAGCGGAAUGUGGUGGUCGGGAUUGAGGAUUGCAACGAAUACCUUUAGGGCUGUUCCACCUGGCCUCUCUUUGGUAUCCUGGUGACGACAGCUUGCUGACGUUGUUAGGAUUCGCCAUUGAACAGGCUAGAGUGUGAGCAAAUUCGUUAAGGAUGUUAACGUAAUGGCUUUAAACGACC